rnacentral:lncRNA from 1 species
CGGGCCCGCGCUGCCCGGGUAUGGUCCACCAAACGAGCCUUCUCUUUAAGGGUCUCGAGAAGGGCCCCACGCUGGGGGACCCCACUGCAGAACUUUUCGUGAGGGCUGCAAGGAGGGCCGCGUUGUAAAAUAAAGAGGAGACACGAAGCGGCAUCCCCUGAGGGUUGGGGAUCGGGCCGUGAGGAUGGAGUUGGGACAGGCCUUUUUGCUUUGGUAGUUGUAGGGGUUGCAUUGGAAGAUGGGCCAGCGGCAGAGCGGAGCAUGCAGGAAAGAGGAAGAGGCCUUGGACCUGCAGCCCAGGUCGGAUUUGGUGGUUACUGUCUAAAUCUGAAGCUUUGGCCUGCCUUGACUCCCCACCCACCCAGGGCAGCUUGGACCUCUCUCUAGCCACCCUUGUCCCGAGGGGUCUGAGUGUCUCCCAGACUAAACUGGGCAUUUUCUGCAGUGGAAGGAUAAAAAUGGAAGCGUUUACGCGCCUCCCAGACACUGGUAUUAGGGCUCAAGAGCUCUACAGAUUGCCUGGGGAGGUAGGGGUGGAAGGGGUUCAGUUCCUCACUUGGAGUUAGCUCUUAGAAGCUCAGAAGAGUGGAGGCGAAGAGGGGACAUUCAGCCUGGGAGAUCUGGGGCAGCGGGAAGUGGGGAUACCGGGUCGGGGUGAAGGCAAGCAGCAGCACCCCCAGCAUGGGGAAGAAGGCCUGAGGCUGUCUCUGGCCACUGCAUCUCUAGGCCUUCUCUUGGAGCGGGAGGUGGCUGGGUUUCCAGGGAAUUUUGUGUGAGUAAAAUUUUCCCAUGUCAUUGGAGAGUUAGGAAGAGCUCCUCUUUUGGGGCCUUUUUCCAAGCGGGUCCCCCUCACCCCGCUACAGGCUUCUUGUCACUCAGGCUUCAAUAAAGGCCAUUCUGGGGGCUGCUUGCUGUAACCUAGAAGACAGAAUUGCCUAGGAUCAUUAGUAGAGUCAUUUUUUUUUUUUCCUACUCUACAGGCCAAUUAAUUUGAAACAAGCUUCUAUGGUCUUUUAACUGUUAGCAUCACCACUGUUGUAACAGGACCAUAAACCCAGUCUGCCCCACUCUAGUCCCAUGUUUUUAAUAACUGUUGGCUCUUUUUUAGGGGUUUGGGUGGGGGGAUUCCUACCUCAGUGAUCCCUGCUGAGCCUGGCUGUUGUCUGUGGUCCAGAAGGUUCCUUUACCUGACUCACUCCUCUCAGAUCAUGUCCAAAUACCAGGAGACUGACCCAGGUCCUCACCAGUCAGGCCAGCUCCUCUGCAGGUCUCAGUCCUGUUUAUUGCCUUGAGGAUCACCAUCAUGGACCAAGCAGUUUCCCAGCAUGGAUCCUGGCCCUUCUUAUACUCAGCCUCCAGACCCUUAUGUGGGGAGCUGGGGCUAAAGUCUAUAAGCUGUGUUCCUGGAGUUCCAGAGUCACUACUAGACUACGAAGGAGCAAAGCAUGGAGUCGUCUUGCUCUUUCGAGGACUUAGGAGGGGAAAAUGGAAACUUGAUUAAGGAGAACUUCUCCUGGGUUCAUCUAUGGUGGCAGCAUGGAGUUUUGUAAUAUACCACUAGCAUGCAGUGCUCAACCACAACUUUUAAAAUUGUUAUGGGCAAAGUGCCAGGAAACUGCUAACUGGUUAAAAUUUAAUUUUGGCUGGUAAAAUUUUCAGCCUUUAUUUUUAUUUUUGAGACAGAGUCUCACUCUGUCGCCCAGGUAGGGGUGCAGUGGCGCAAUCUUGGCUCACUGCAACCUCUGCCUCCCGGGUUCAAGUGAUCCUCCUGCCUUAGCCUCCUGAGUAGCUGGGAUUACAGGCAUGCACCACCACGCCUGGCUUUUUAUAUUUUUAGCAGAGACGGGGUUUCACCAUAUUGGCCAGGGUGGUCUUGAAUUCCUGUCCUCAAGUGAUCUGCCCACCUCAGCCUCCCAAAAUGCAGGGAUUACAGGUGUGAGCCACCAUGCCCAGCCAAUUUUCAGCCUUUAGAGCAAGAAAUCCUAACAAGCCUAUGCCCAUUAAUCAUAAAUCUGCCCCACUUAGGGCACUGGAUGUGUGGCUGUACAGACUGAGUUUUACCCAUCUUUAUAAAUGAUGCUACACUACUAAACUGUGAUGCAUUGGACAUCUCUCAUUUUUCUGUGGCUGACCAGCAUGCAAACAUUCUUUAUAUUUGGGGCACUCCAUCACUGUGAGAGUCUUAGGACCUUCUUUCCCACCGUGGAGCAUAAGGGGGCCACAUACUUGGUCUCCCAACCCCUCACAGCUAGGGUGGCGUGUGAUCUGGCCAAUGAGAUUCUCCUUUUGGGAACUGUGAAUCUUGAUCAAGUGGUGCAAAGACAGAGACACGUUAAAAUUCAUCUUGGUGGUCGAGUUUCUAGAGACUGGUAGUACCUAGCAAUCAUGGUGGAACCAGUGACAGUAUCCUUUUUAUUCCGUGGUACCUGAAAUCCUUACAAUAAAUUCUUCCGCUUCAAUCAGCCAGAGUGAGUUUGUCUUAUUUACAACCAAGAACCCUGACUCAUGUACAUGAAAACAAACAAAAAACCAGAAUGUCUUCCUUUGUCAUUUCCCCUUCCA